rnacentral:rRNA from 1 species
UAGAGUUUGAUCAUGGCUCAGGAUGAACGCUAGCGACAGGCUUAACACAUGCAAGUCGAGGGGCAGCGGGGAGGUAGCAAUACUUCCGCCGGCGACCGGCGCACGGGUGAGUAACACGUAUGGAACCUGCCCGUAGCAGGGGGAUAAGCGGAAGAAAUUCCGUCUAAUACCGCGUAAUAACUCCGAGAGGCAUCUCAUGGAGUUUAAAGGGUAAUACCGGCUACGGAUGGCCAUGCGGCGCAUUAGCUAGUUGGCGGGGUAACGGCCCACCAAGGCGACGAUGCGUACGGGUUCUGAGAGGAAGGUCCCCCACACUGGUACUGAGACACGGACCAGACUCCUACGGGAGGCAGCAGUGAGGAAUAUUGGUCAAUGGGCGCGAGCCUGAACCAGCCAAGUCGCGUGAGGGAAGACGGUCCUAUGGAUUGUAAACCUCUUUUGUCGGGGAGCAAAAGGCGCCACGUGUGGCGUUCCGAGAGUACCCGAAGAAAAAGCAUCGGCUAACUCCGUGCCAGCAGCCGCGGUAAUACGGAGGAUGCGAGCGUUAUCCGGAUUUAUUGGGUUUAAAGGGUGCGUAGGCGGCCUGCCAAGUCAGCGGUAAAAUUGCGGGGCUCAACCCCGUACAGCCGUUGAAACUGCCGGGCUCGAGUGGGCGAGAAGUAUGCGGAAUGCCUGGUGUAACGGUGAAAUGCCUAGAUAUCACGCAGAACCCCGAUUGCGAAGGCAGCAUACCGGCGCCCGACUGACGCUGAAGCACGAAAGUGCGGGGAUCAAACAGGAUUAGAUACCUUGGUAGUCCGCACAGUAAACGAUGAAUGCUAGCUGUCCGGGGGGAUUGACCCCUGGGUGGCACAGCGAAAGCGUUAAGCAUUCCACCUGGGGAGUACGCCGGCAACGGUGAAACUCAAAGGAAUGGACGGGGACCCGCACAAGCAGCGGAGCAUGUGGUUUAAUUCGACGCAACGCGAAAAACUUUACCAGGCCUUGACAUCGAGUGAAAGUCCAAGAGAUUGGACCCUCUUUCGGGACACGAAGACAGGUGCUGCAUGGUUGUCGUCAGCUCGUGUCGUGAGAUGUUAGGUUAAGUCCUGCAACGAGCGCAACCCUCAUAUGUAGUUGCCAUCAUUAAGUUGGGCACUCUGCAUAGACUGCCGUGGUUAACACGGAGGAAGGUGGGGAUGACGUCAAAUCAUCACGGCCCUUACGGCCUGGGCUACACACGUGCUACAAUGGCUAUUACAAAGAGUUGCAAUACAGCAAUGUGGAGCGAAUCUCAAAAAGAUAGUCUCAGUUCGGACUGUGGGCUGCAACCCGCCCACACGAAGUCGGAGUUGCUAGUAAUCCCGAAUCAGCAUGUCGGGGUGAAUGCGUUCCCGGGUCUUGUACACACCGCCCGUCACGCCAUGGGAGUCGGAAGUGCCCAAAGUCGGUGACCUAACCGCAAGGAAGGAGCCGCCUAAGGUAAUGCCGAUGACUGGGGUGAAGUCGUAACCAAGGUAACCGUAA